rnacentral:rRNA from 1 species
ACGCUCGACACCUACGAGAGGCAGCAGUCGGGAAUAUUGCGCAAUGGAGGAAACUCUGACGCAGUGACGCCGCGUAUAGGAAGAAGGUUUUCGGAUUGUAAACUAUUGUCGUUAGGGAAGAAAAAAGACAGUACCUAAGGAGGAAGCUCCGGCUAACUACGUGCCAACAGCCGCGGUAAUCUGAGCGGGCUGGCAAGGC